rnacentral:rRNA from 1 species
AUGGUGUCGUGGAGCGACGAGACCAGUGAGGAUUCAGUCCUGAACAUCUCCUCCUCCUGCGAUGGCAUCAUCAAGCUUCCAGCUACGAUGCACGAUCCGAAUUUCAAUGGCACUGACGCAGAUGUGAAUGUCUUGUGUGAACACGGUGAGCCGGCCGAGCACUUUGUAGCAUUUGAAGGGAUGCACACGGGCAGGAGGUUUCUUGGAUGUGCUAAGAAGGAAGGCAUAAACUGUGGAGUAGUUCAAUGGAUUGAUUUUGAAUGGCCAGACUCAAUGGAGAAGGCAUUGGCCAAGCUAUGGGAUAUGUAUGAGGAGAUUAAGUGA